rnacentral:rRNA from 1 species
AAGCUCGUAGUUGAAUUUCGGGCCUGGCUGGACGGUCCGCCCUUCGGGUGAGUACUGUCUGUGGUCGGGUCCUACCUUCUGGCGAAGCGUCAUGGCCUUAACCGGCCGUGGCGGGGAACCAGGACUUUUACUGUGAAAAAAUUAGAGUGUUCAAAGCAGGCAAUCGCUUGGAUACAUUAGCAUGGAAUAAUGGAAUAGGACAAUGGUUCUAUUUGUUGGUUUCUAGGACCGUUGUAAUGAUAAUAGGGAUAGUUGGG